rnacentral:lncRNA from 1 species
AGGAGUCAUGAGUUGGAGACCUUCAAUUUAUUGGACUAUAGUAUCUCAAGUGUCAGUGUUGAUCCUAUUAUGAAGACUGUUGUGGACACUGACAGAGUGCAUAAGAAAGCCAACAGGGCAAUAAAAUGAGAGACAGUAUGUGGGAUGCUGAUACAAAACAUUAUCUUGGAAGACUGUGCUGUGUUAGAAAGAUUGAAGAUUAAGAUUGAAAUUAGGGUUGCUAAGAGAAACAAAGUUGAAGU